CUCCCCUGAACAUGCACUACUCACCUGUUCAACAAGUCUUUAUUCAGCAUCCACUGUGUGCCAAGCACUGUGCUGGGCCAUAGGAAUCCCAAGGUGUGGUCCCUGCUCAUAGUCUGUGGAGGAGUCAGAUACUAACCACAUAACCCACAAAAGCACAAGUGAUAACCAAUGUGGAGAGGCAUAAGGUACUGUGAGAAGGGAUAGUAGGAGGAUUUCCCCUCUAGCCAAGGAGAUCAGGAAAGGCUUUUGGGGGAAAGAGUGAGAAGGAGAAUGGAGAGAAGGGAGGGCAGCAGAAAAGUAUGUGCAAAGGCCCUGGAAUCAGGGUCCUGGCUCCCAGCCACCCUGCUCCCCCAGAAAGAAGAGGUUCCCUCCAUUCCUGCUUCUCACCUGGAUUUGAUAUGCUGCAAGGGAGGGACGCCCUGACCUGUCCCGGUCCCUGGAACGAGGAGCAUGUCUGCCUCCACGGUUGCCCGAAGUGUGUGUGAGGUCCUGCAGCUGCCUGCACACUAGGUCUCCGGUGUGCCCAUCUCACUGCUGCCCAAGGGCCAGGAGGACACCAAGUCCUCCAUUGUCUCGCUGUCCCUCACACCCCCAUGCCCUGGAGUGAGUGAGGGCUGGACACAGCUACCAGAACAGUCCCUUCUUCCCCUACUCACUGUCCUGGCCAUCCAUUCCUACUCAGCUCUAAGCCCAAACCUUUUCAAAAAUGAUGUUUUUCUCUCAACUUCUUAUUCUGAAAAUUGACAACUGAAGAGAAAAAGAGUUACACACUUACGCUGCCUGUCCUGUAUAAACUAUAUUUCAGGGUAGCCAAAUAGCUCUACGUGGCGAAGAAAACUUAUUUACAGAACUCCAGCUAAUGUAGGGGGAAUAUGCAAUUAGAAAAAUCACCAUUUUGCAACGGUUAAUGAAAUAAGGGAUCAAAGCAAGAAUUAACAAUGGAUGCAGCCAAGGAUGAUAGUUGAUGGAGAACUUUACUAUGGAGGAAUCAAGCUAUCGCUCCCUGAGCCAACUGAUGAAUCUUAGUUUCACUAAAUCAUGUACCAUGUACCUCCUGAUAUGAUGCAAUCUGAUGCACUCAGCACCACCUUUGAAGGAUUCUUACCAAAGAAACAAACCAAAAAACUGAACAUGAUUCUAAUCAAACCUCUAGAGCUAACCUCUAUUUAUUUAAUGGGAAAUGUGGUGGAUGGAGGAACAAAUUAAAUGACAUAACAAAGAAGUAAGGAAAUAUACCAGAACGUGGGACAUUCCAAAGGAAAACUGAGCUGCUUUCUUCAACUAGUCAAUGGCUGGGGAGAAAAGUGAGUGCAGACAAGAAGACAACUACUACAUGGAAUAUGUGGGCCUUCUUUGGUUCCUGACUGGGACCACCCAAUUGAAAAAAAAGAUGUUUUUAGACAGUUGGAGACAUUUAAUUAUGAACUGGGUAUUCAUGAUGCCAAGGAAUCAGUG
rnacentral:lncRNA from 1 species